UGUUACCUUGUUACGACUUAGCCCCAGUUACCAGUUUUACCCUAGGCCGCUCCUUGCGGUGACAGACUUCAGGUACCCCCGGCUUCCAUGGCUUGACGGGCGGUGUGUACAAGGCCCGGGAACGUAUUCACCGCAUCAUGGCUGAUAUGCGAUUACUAGCGAAUCCACCUUCACGGAGUCGAGUUGCAGACUCCGAUCCGAACUGAGACCGGCUUUCGAGAUUUGCAUCAUAUCACUAUGUAGCUGCCCUCUGUACCGGCCAUUGUAACACGUGUGUAGCCCUGGACGUAAGGGCCGUGCUGAUUUGACGUCAUCCCCACCUUCCUCGCGGUUUACACCGGCAGUCUCGCUAGAGUCCUCAGCAUUACCUGCUAGCAACUAACGAUAGGGGUUGCGCUCGUUAUGGGACUUAACCCGACACCUCACGGCACGAGCUGACGACAACCAUGCAGCACCUUGUAAAUUGUCCGAAGAAAGAAUGGUUUCCCAUUCAAGCAAUCUACAUUUAAGCCCAGGUAAGGUUCCUCGCGUAUCAUCGAAUUAAACCGCAUGUUCCUCCGCUUGUGCGGGCCCCCGUCAAUUCCUUUGAGUUUCAAUCUUG
rnacentral:rRNA from 2 species